rnacentral:rRNA from 1 species
AUGGACGAUCAGAGUUAUUUUGAUCUAUUGCAUAAUGAUGCCGGAUUGAAUGAUUUGCACUGGACUGAAGAACAACAUGUCGAUCUUGAAGGGCAUGUAGAACAAGAAAUUGAUCUCGAAGGGCUUGAAGAACAACAAACUGAUCUCGAAGAGACUGAAGAGUCUACCCCUGUGAAAGCAAGGUCUUCGAAAGCAAAGGCGAAGAAAGCAAGCGCUUCGAAAGCAAGCGCUUCGAAGAGGCAAAAGAAUUUCAGCAAGGCUGAAGACUUAACUUUGGUGGAUGCGUACCUCGAGAUAACUCAAGAUCCAAUCAUAGGAGUAGACCAAUCUCGUGAUUGUUAUUGGAAAAGAAUCGAUGCUUACUUCCAUGCCAAUAAAUCUGAAGACCAUGGUCGCACACAAGGUUCUCUUCAGCAUCGUUGGGCUAUUAUUCAAGAACAAGUGAAUAGGUUUUGUGCAUGUUAUAUUCAGGUCCAGAAUAGGAACCAAAGUGGGAUGACACGUGAAAAUAAGUUGUUCCCAAGAAAAGGCCACCUGGAAUCAAGAGGGCUAAAGAUGCAGCAUGGCGGUCUCAAAGUUCUUUCAGUACAGAGAGAAGAAGAUAGGUUGGUAGAAGAAAGAAAGAAACUUGCAAUACAAGAAAAAAAUGGAAUUAGAAGAAGAAAAGAUACGAAUCAUGAGAAUGGCGGAAGAACGCAUGAUGGGGGCUGA